AUUGAACGCUGGCGGCAGGCCUAACACAUGCAAGUCGAGCGAGCGGCGGAUGGGUGAGUAACACGUGGGAACCUACCCAUCAGAGGGGGAUAACUACUGGAAACGGUAGCUAAUACCGCAUACCAUCAGAUGUGCCCAGAUGGGAUUAGCUAGUAGGUGGGGUAACGGCUCACCUAGGCGACGAUCCCUAGCUGGUCUGAGAGGAUGACCAGCCACACUGGAACUGAGACACGGUCCAGACUCCUACGGGAGGCAGCAGUGGGGAAUAUUGCACAAUGGGCGCAAGCCUGAUGCAGCCAUGCCGCGUGUGUGAAGAAGGCCUUCGGGUUGUAAAGCACUUUCAGCGGGGAGGCGUUACCCGCAGAAGAAGCACCGGCUAACUCCGUGCCAGCAGCCGCGGUAAUUC
rnacentral:rRNA from 1 species